AUCAGCCGCCAUCUGGACCCUAUCAGUCACCAUCUGGAACCAAUCAGCCACCUUCUGGACCCUAUCAGCCACCAUCUGGAACCUAUCAGCCGCCUUCUGGACCCUAUCAGCAACCAUCUGGAACCUAUCAGCCACCAUCUGCAACCUAUCAGCCGCCAUCUGGACCUAUCAGCCACCAUCUGGAACCAUCAUCCCCUCUGGACCCUAUCAGCCGCCUUCUGGACCCUAUCUGGACCCUAUCAGCCACCAUCUGGAACCAAUCAGCCACCUUCCGGAACCUAUCAGCCGCCAUGGGGAACCUAUCAGCCACCAUCCGGAACCUGUAAGCCACCAUCCGGAACCAAUCGGCCGCCUUCUGGACCCUAUCAGCCACCAUCUGGAACCUAUCAGCCACCAUCUGGAACCAAUCAGCCGCCUUCUGGACCCUAUCAAAUGACUGGAACUUACCAAUCACCACCAAGACCUCCACAUAUGGCUACAAGCCAGCACCCCACAGCUCAAUCCCCUCAAAUGGCUGGACAAUAUUACACUCCAUCAGCAGCCCCCCAAACGGCAGUACCACACCACCCUCCGUCCAGACUCCCUCAUGUGACAGCUUCGUACACGCCAUCUGAAGAUUUUCAGAGCUUAGAACCACAACACCAUCUGUCAGGACCUGCUCAAGGGACAGGAUCUGACCAAUCACCAUCAGAACCCGCUCAAAUUACAGAACAGGUAGCAGCUGCUUGAUCCUUAUAUCAAGUGAUUGAGACGGCGUCAAUUUUCUGUCUUGAUAUUUUCUAUAGUGAUUAAUAUGAUAAGUUACUUAUUCUUGUGAUCGGCCAUCUGCAUGGUUGAUGAAGAUUACCAUGACUUAUAAUGGAAUUACCAAUCAAUUAUCAAGUAUUGUGCAUGUUAAAUAUAUGAGAUGAAUUCGUAGGGGCCAAUAGUUUCUGACUUGCGUAAGUUGUACUAUGAACUCGGUAAUUUAUCUUUCAGGAAAAUGUCGUAAAUUUGGAUCCAUGAAUCACGGCAUUAGUAUUGAGAUUCACAGCCAAAAGAUGCACGGUAGGUGAAUACAUCCCGGUGAAUGGUUCAGUUUAGUAGUUUGAUUGUUGUUCUUCAAACUGGUUCCUUGUGGUGGCUAGGGGACGACGGAUUCAUUGUAAUUUGGGGUCGAUUCGGCAGAUGGUGCUGUGCCGUUGGUUCGGUUGAAAUCAAUUUUCCUCGCAUUGCUUAUGUGUUUCAAAUGGUAUAUGAAUCAUAUACAAUUUUGAUUCAACGAUUCACUACAAUUUUUGUUUGAGUGUGUCAUCAGGUGUGUUAAUUUUGUGUGCGUAC
rnacentral:lncRNA from 1 species